GUGCUCGCUUCGGCAGCACAUAUACUAAAAUUGGAAUGCUAUAGAGAAAAUUAGCAUGGCCCCUGCAUAAGGAUGACGUACAAAUUCGUGAAGUGUUCCACAUUUUU
ensembl:snRNA U6 U6 spliceosomal RNA